UACGGAGGGGGCUAGCGUUGUUCGGAAUUACUGGGCGUAAAGCGCGCGUAGGCGGACCUGCAAGUCGGGGGUGAAAGCCCGAGGCUCAACCUCGGAACUGCCUUCGAUACUGCGGGUCUCGAGUCCAGGAGAGGUGAGUGGAAUUCCUAGUGUAGAGGUGAAAUUCGUAGAUAUUAGGAGAAACACCAGUGGCGAAGGCGGCUACACU
rnacentral:rRNA from 1 species